AUUGAACGCUGGCGGCAUGCCUUACACAUGCAAGUCGAACGGCAGCACGGGUGCUUGCACCUGGUGGCGAGUGGCGAACGGGUGAGUAAUAUAUCGGAACGUACCUUAUUGUGGGGGAUAACGCAGCGAAAGCUGUGCUAAUACCGCAUAAUCCCUAAGGGGGAAAGCGGGGGACCGUAAGGCCUCGCGCAAUUAGAGCGGCCGAUACCUGAUUAGCUAGUUGGUGAGGUAAAGGCUCACCAAGGCAACGAUCAGUAGCUGGUCUGCGAGGACGAUCAGCCACACUGGGACUGAGGCACGGCCCAGACUCCUACGGGAGGCAGCAGUGGGGAAUUUUGGACAAUGGGGGCAACCCUGAUCCAGCAAUGCCGCGUGAGUGAAGAAGGCCUUCGGGUUGUAAAGCUCUUUUGUCAGGGAAGAAACAGCAGCUCUAACACAGUUUGCGAAUGACGGUACCUGAAGAAUAAGCACCGGCUAACUACGUGCCAGCAGCCGCCGCAG
rnacentral:rRNA from 1 species